UAGAGUUUGAUCCUGGCUCAGGAUGAACGCUGGCGGCGUGCCUAAUACAUGCAAGUCGAGCGAACAGAUAAGGAGCUUGCUCCUUUGACGUUAGCGGCGGACGGGUGAGUAACACGUGGGUAACCUACCUAUAAGACUGGGAUAACUUCGGGAAACCGGAGCUAAUACCGGAUAACAUUUGGAACCGCAUGGUUCUAAAGUGAAAGAUGGUUUUGCUAUCACUUAUAGAUGGACCCGCGCCGUAUUAGCUAGUUGGUAAGGUAACGGCUUACCAAGGCGACGAUACGUAGCCGACCUGAGAGGGUGAUCGGCCACACUGGAACUGAGACACGGUCCAGACUCCUACGGGAGGCAGCAGUAGGGAAUCUUCCGCAAUGGGCGAAAGCCUGACGGAGCAACGCCGCGUGAGUGAUGAAGGGUUUCGGCUCGUAAAACUCUGUUAUUAGGGAAGAACAAACGUGUAAGUAACUGUGCACGUCUUGACGGUACCUAAUCAGAAAGCCACGGCUAACUACGUGCCAGCAGCCGCGGUAAUACGUAGGUGGCAAGCGUUAUCCGGAAUUAUUGGGCGUAAAGCGCGCGUAGGCGGUUUCUUAAGUCUGAUGUGAAAGCCCACGGCUCAACCGUGGAGGGUCAUUGGAAACUGGGAAACUUGAGUGCAGAAGAGGA
rnacentral:rRNA from 1 species